GAUGAACGCUGGCGGCGUGCCUAAUACAUGCAAGUCGAGCGAACGGACGAGAAGCUUGCUUCUCUGAUGUUAGCGGCGGACGGGUGAGUAACACGUGGAUAACCUACCUAUAAGACUGGGAUAACUUCGGGAAACCGGAGCUAAUACCGGAUAAUAUUUUGAAACGCAUGGUUCAAAAGUGAAAGACGGUCUUGCUGUCACUUAUAGAUGGAUCCGCGCUGCAUUAGCUAGUUGGUAAGGUAACGGCUUACCAAGGCAACGAUGCAUAGCCGACCUGAGAGGGUGAUCAGCCACACUGGAACUGAGACACGGUCCAGACUCCUACGGGAGGCAGCAGUAGGGAAUCUUCCGCAAUGGGCGAAAGCCUGACGGAGCAACGCCGCGUGAGUGAUGAAGGUCUUCGGAUCGUAAAACUCUGUUAUUAGGGAAGAACAUAUGUGUAAGUAACUGUGCACAUCUUGACGGUACCGAAUCAGAAAGCCACGGCUAACUACGUG
rnacentral:rRNA from 1 species